GUGCCAGCCGCCGCGCGGUAAUACCCGCAGCUCAAGUGGUGGUCGCUUUUAUUGAGCCUAAAACGUUCGUAGUCGGCCUUGUAAAUCCCUGGGUAAAUCGGGGCGCUUAACGUUUCGAAUUCCGGGGAGACUGUAAGGCUAGGGACCGGGCGAGGUCAGAGGUACUUUCGGGGUAGGAGUGAAAUCCUGUAAUCCCGAAGGGACCACCUGUGGCGAAAGCGUCUGACUUGAACGGCUCCGACGAUGAGGUACGAAGGCUAGGGGAGCAAACCGGAUUAGAUACCCGGGUAGUCCUAGCUGUAAACUCUGCCCGCUUGGUGUGGCCUGUACUUCGGGUGCAGGCUGUGCCGGAGCGAAGGUGUUAAGCGGGCUGCUUGGGGAGUACGGCCGCAAGGUUGAAACUUAAAGGAAUUGGCGGGGGAGCACCGCAACGGGAGGAUGCGUGCGGUUUAAUUGGAUUCAACGCCGGAAAACUCACCUGAGGCGACCAGCGUAUGUGUGUCAGGCUGAAGACCUUACUCGAACAAAAGCUGGAGAGGUGGUGCAUGGCCAUCGUCAGCUCGUACCGUAGGGCAUUCACUUAAGUGUGAUAACGAGCGAGACCCCCAUCCCUAGUUGCUAACUUUUCCGAAAGGAAGGGUGCACUCUAGGGAGACCGCUUCUGCUAA
rnacentral:rRNA from 1 species